GACGAACGCUGGCGGCGUGCUUAACACAUGCAAGUCGAACGGAAAGGCCCUUUCGGGGGUACUCGAGUGGCGAACGGGUGAGUAACACGUGGGUGAUCUGCCCUGCACUCUGGGAUAAGCCUGGGAAACUGGGUCUAAUACCGGAUAGGACCAUGGGAUGCAUGUUCUGUGGUGGAAAGCUUUUGCGGUGUGGGAUGGGCCCGCGGCCUAUCAGCUUGUUGGUGGGGUGAUGGCCUACCAAGGCGACGACGGGUAGCCGGCCUGAGAGGGUGUCCGGCCACACUGGGACUGAGAUACGGCCCAGACUCCUACGGGAGGCAGCAGUGGGGAAUAUUGCACAAUGGGCGCAAGCCUGAUGCAGCGACGCCGCGUGGGGGAUGACGGCCUUCGGGUUGUAAACCUCUUUCAGUAUCGGCGAAGCUCCGUGGUUUUCUGCGGGGUGACGGUAGGUACAGAAGAAGCACCGGCCAACUACGUGC
rnacentral:rRNA from 1 species